UCUUCUUUAUAUGACUUACAAACUCUAAUGAUGCAUUUCAUUUCUUUAAUUUCAAAUGCGAGUUUGUGUUUGGGAAUAUAGUUGGCAAUUACCUGGAAAAAACUGGGGAAAGGAUAUUAAGAUCCCUGCCUGUCCUCCAGCCGCUAGAUCUUGAGUGUCUAUUUUUCAAAUGGCACUUUGAGCAAUGAAAGGGUAGUAUUGGAAACAGUAUGAGCACGCGUAAGGUAAAGUUGAGUUGGAGGAUACAAUUAAUAAGAUGUGAAUAAUAUGAAGUGUUACAUGGGUCGGUUUGGCACAUCCUAACGGUAUGAGCACGCAUAAGGUAAAGUUGAGUUGGAGGAUACAAUUAAUAAGAUGUGAAUAAUAUGAAGUGUUACAUGGGUCGGUUUGGCACAUCCUAGACAAAGGCAGAUCUAAGACUUCUAGAACAUGGAUGCACCAUUAAAGAAAGGAGCACAAAGAAAGUAUUAAGUGGGAAUUGAACCCUAUUCCUUUGGGUAAAUAACUCAACAUUUAAUCAAGUCCACCAUUCAACCUUAUUGGAGCAUGACUACCAGCAGAUAAUUUUAAAUCAAUUCUUGGAAAUAUGUACAUAAAAUGCCUAGUUUGGCGGAAAGACCAUGGGUUCAUGUGCACUGUAUCAUGGGGGUAAAUUUGCCCCUGAUCCUAGAAUGGAAUUCCAACAUUAUACCAUCACUGAAAGUGAGGGAAAAGAAACAUUGCUUUGUGUGUUAGGUGUUCAAUUUUUUAUCAUCUCUGUACAACUCUCAUUUCUCGUGUUAUUAGAUCCUUCAUAUUUUAAGCUGACAGCAUUUCAUUAGGUCAAGUUGUCACCCUAGGAGAUGAAGCAUUCACAUUAUGUCAUGCAUAGG